GAUGAACGCUAGCUACAGGCUUAACACAUGCAAGUCGAGGGGUAACGAGAGGAAAGCUUGCUUUCCUUGUCGACGACCGGCGCACGGGUGAGUAACGCGUAUCCAACCUGCCCCCAACUAGGGAAUAACCUUGCGAAAGUAAGACUAAUACCCUAUAAUUUCCUCAGAUGUCAUCUGACGAGGAAUAAAGAUUUAUCGGUUGUGGAUGGGGAUGCGUCUGAUUAGCUUGUUGGCGGGGUAACGGCCCACCAAGGCAACGAUCAGUAGGGGUUCUGAGAGGAAGGUCCCCCACAUUGGAACUGAGACACGGUCCAAACUCCUACGGGAGGCAGCAGUGAGGAAUAUUGGUCAAUGGGCGGAAGCCUGAACCAGCCAAGUAGCGUGCAGGAUGACGGCCCUAUGGGUUGUAAACUGCUUUUAUACAGGAAUAAAGUUAGCCACGUGUGGUUAUUUGUAGGUACUGUAUGAAUAAGGACCGGCUAAUUCCGUGCCAGCCGCCGUAAUAC
rnacentral:rRNA from 1 species